rnacentral:rRNA from 1 species
GUCCAUGCUGUCAACGAUGAGUGUUGCAUGUUGGAAUCAAUAAAGAUUUCAGUUUGUCAGCUAACGCGUUAAACACUCCGCCUGGGGAAUACGGUCGCAAGAUUAAAACUCAAAGGAAUUGACGGAAGUCUGCACAAGCGGUGGAACAUGUGGUUUAAUUCGAAGCAACACGCAAAACCUUACCAGUUCUUGAGAUGUAAAAUUUAGACAAUAAAAAAUUGUUGGAACAUUUUAUAAGUAAAAAAUGUAGAAUAAUUUUAUACAGGUGUUGCAUGGCUGUCGU